rnacentral:rRNA from 1 species
GAUAAACGCUGGCGGCGCACAUAAGACAUGCAAGUCGAACGGACUUAACCUAUUCUUAACGAUUAGGAGCGGUUAGUGGCGGACUGGUGAGUAAUGUAUAAGUAACCUGCCUAUCAGAGGGGAACAACAGUUGGAAACGACUGCUAAUACCGCAUAUGCCACGAGAAUCACAUGGUUCAAGUGGGAAAGGAGCAAUCCGCUGAUAGAUGGACUUAUAUCUGAUUAGCUAGUUGGUGGGGUAAUGGCCUACCAAGGCGACGAUCAGUAGCCGGACUGAGAGGUUAAACGGCCACAUUGGGACUGAGAUACGGCCCAGACUCCUACGGGAGGCAGCAGUCGGGAAUAUUGCGCAAUGGAGGAAACUCUGACGCAGUGACGCCGCGUGCAGGAAGAAGGUUUUCGGAUUGUAAACUGCUUUAGACAGGGAAGAAAAAAGACAGUAC